rnacentral:lncRNA from 1 species
AAUUAGCAUCUCAAUUACUUCAAUUUUAUAUUCCUAGAGAGUACUUGGGUGAUCUGUUACUGUUCAUUUUGUCAUUUUUUUUCUAGGACGUCUACCAACCCACCAAUUAAAGAAGAGGUCCAGCGUGGGGAAUUCCCCAAACUCCUUCACAGUAAAAUCAUGUAAAAAUUUCACAGGGUUUUUGAAUUGUAGCCUUACUUUCUCAAAAUGCUCAUUUCUUGCCUUUAUUUUCCACAGAGACUCCUUGGAAGUUUUCCCACCACAGAUUUGUUCUUAGUUUUUAUGCUGCUUGCAAGGUUGGACCUACAGUGAAAAUAGGUGGGUGCACGUUUAGUUUGAUGAUCCCAGAGAAGUGUAGCCAUAAAACAGCCAUCAGACUGCUCAACUCCAUGAAGACAGAAUCAGUUCUAGAUCCAGCACAAAAAGUACAAAUUUAAUCACACAGAAAACAAAACUAAGCACUGCUGGUGCGCUGCUACUGCAAUCUGCUCUGUAGGAAGCUGCAGAGGGAGGGAGGAGUGUCUGGCAGAGUGUUUACAUGGGUGGUACAAGCAGAAACUGCAUCAGCAAAGCCCUGUGGCUGGGAGGUACAGAGGAGAAUUGCAGGCUGUGACCAAGUUCAACCUGAUGGUAUAUGGCAGUUUUCACCCCCUACAUCUUCAAAAUAUUUGCAGACAUGAGUUACGAAACUUCACAAUGCCACAGAGUUUUCUAAAGACAGGAGAGUAGUAAGAGAAGAAAAAAACUUUACUGAUUCUCCUCAAAACUGUGGAAGAAGGAAAGUAAACAUUCAAUUAAGGAGAUUCACUACAUUUAUGUCACGCAGUCUCCUUUACUAAAUAUUAUCCCUUAUAUUUUGUGCAAUUAGCCAACUCAGUUUCCUCAAAUAAAUGCAACGUUAAGAACA